rnacentral:rRNA from 1 species
GAUGAACGCUGGCGGCGUGCUUAACACAUGCAAGUCGAACGAUGAAGCCCAGCUUGCUGGGUGGAUUAGUGGCGAACGGGUGAGUAACACGUGAGUAACCUGCCCUUGACUCUGGGAUAAGCCUGGGAAACUGGGUCUAAUACUGGAUAUGACUUCUCAUCGCAUGGUGGGGGGUGGAAGGAUUUAUUGGUCUUGGAUGGACUCGCGGCCUAUCAGCUUGUUGGUGAGGUAAUGGCUCACCAAGGCGACGACGGGUAGCCGGCCUGAGAGGGUGACCGGCCACACUGGGACUGAGACACGGCCCAGACUCCUACGGGAGGCAGCAGUGGGGAAUAUUGCACAAUGGGCGCAAGCCUGAUGCAGCGACGCCGCGUGAGGGAUGACGGCCUUCGGGUUGUAAACCUCUUUCAGUAGGGAAGAAGCGAGAGUGACGGUACCUGCAGAAGAAGCGCCGGCUAACUACGUG